UACGAGGGGGGCAAGCGUUGUUCGGAAUUAUUGGGCGUAAAGGGCGCGUAGGCGGUUUGACAAGUCUGAUGUGAAAUCUGUGGGCUCAACCCACAGCCUGCAUUAGAAACUGUCGGGCUUGAGUAUGGGAGAGGUGAGUGGAAUUUCCGGUGUAGCGGUGAAAUGCGUAGAUAUCGGAAGGAACACCUGUGGCGAAAGCGGCUCACUGGACCAUAACUGACGCUGAGGCGCGAAAGCUAGGGGAGCAAACAGG
rnacentral:rRNA from 1 species